GCAUAUCAAUAAGCGGAGGAAAAGAAACUAACAAGGAUUCCCCUAGUAACGGCGAGUGAAGCGGGAAGAGCACAAAUUUAAAAUCUACCUGGUUUUCAGGUCGAGUUGUAAUUUGAAGAUACGUUUUUGAUGUUCCUGGUUGGACUAAAUCCUUUGGGAUAAGGUAUCAUAGAGGGUGAGAAUCCCGUGUAUACCGACCACAGGGAUGUUAUUUAAUAACGUUUCUAAGAGUCGAGUUGUUUGGGAAUGCAGCUCUAAAUGGGUGGUAAAUUUCACCUAAUGCUAAAUAUAAGCGAGAGACCGAUAGCGAACAAGUACAGUGAUGGAAAGAUGAAAAGAACUUUGAAAAGAGAGUUAAAUAGUACGUGAAAUUGUUGAAAGGGAAACGAUUGAAGUCAGUCAUGCCAGCGGGAAUCAACUUAGGGGAAACUCUGAGUGCACUUCUUCGUUUGGCAGGUUAGCGUCGAUUUUGGAUGUCAUAAAAUAAUUGGGGGAAGGUAGCUCCUUCGGGAGUGUUAUAGCCCUUGGUAGAUGUGAUGUCUGGGAUCGAGGAUUGCAACGGAUACCCUUCGGGGCUAGCCGCCUGAUCUCUAAUCGGUGUUGGGUUACGGACAGCAUGCUGACCGUGAUCUAAUUACUGGUUAAAAGGUUAGAGUGUGCAUAAAUUCGUUAAGGAUGCUGACGUAAUGGCUUUAAACGAC
rnacentral:rRNA from 1 species